rnacentral:rRNA from 1 species
AGAGUUUGAUCCUGGCUCAGAUUGAACGCUGGCGGCAGGCCUAACACAUGCAAGUCGAGCGGUAGAGAGAAGCUUGCUUCUCUUGAGAGCGGCGGACGGGUGAGUAAUGCCUAGGAAUCUGCCUGGUAGUGGGGGAUAACGCUCGGAAACGGACGCUAAUACCGCAUACGUCCUACGGGAGAAAGCAGGGGACCUUCGGGCCUUGCGCUAUCAGAUGAGCCUAGGUCGGAUUAGCUAGUUGGUGAGGUAAUGGCUCACCAAGGCGACGAUCCGUAACUGGUCUGAGAGGAUGAUCAGUCACACUGGAACUGAGACACGGUCCAGACUCCUACGGGAGGCAGCAGUGGGGAAUAUUGGACAAUGGGCGAAAGCCUGAUCCAGCCAUGCCGCGUGUGUGAAGAAGGUCUUCGGAUUGUAAAGCACUUUAAGUUGGGAGGAAGGGCAGUAAAUUAAUACNUUGC